CCAACAUCAGUCUAAUUACAGUAUUGGGAGAAACUUGCAGAAUUAAUGUCACUUGUGAAUUGUGUUUUAAGGAUUGUAACUUGUUCUCUGGUGUGUGGAGGUCACACUCGCAAGCCUAGCUGACCCAGCAGAGCACCCACUUCCAAUGCUACACCACCUCGGGCUCCUACACCCAGUCACAGGCGCUAUGGGCUUGUACCACCAGCAAGUGUAGACCCGUCCACUCCCCCAUCCAGCAUGGUUUGACGUUCCUGACAGUACGCUACUUUAGCAGCAAACCCCCACGAUUCCCAAGCUAUGUCUGAUGAUUUCCUGCUUCCGAAGAUGCUGCAGCGGAUGUCACCGGAACUCCCGCAGGACGGAGGUACAUUUCCGCCCACCACUCUGGGAACCGCUCAUCAGCCACAAGUCAAACAAACGUCAGACCUACAUCUCUGUCAAGGUCAUCCACACUCUCUGCAGAGGCAAAAAAAAAAGUCCUUGACGCUGGACAAGGCUGGGCGGGCUGCUCACCUGCCUCACUGCCUCCUCACCUUACCACGCUGUCCCUUAAAGAUACUCUCAGUAAACCUCCCGAGAGCCCAGGGUGUAUCUUCAGGGGAAUCCAAGCCAAGACAAGUGCUUUCUUUGCCUGAAUUGUUCUUGGCCGCACUGACCCCCCAAGACGAUCCAAAACACUUGACUUUUGCCAGGUGGAUUUGACUUCCCCAUCGGGUAGCUGGGAGGUGAUUUUUCUUUUUAAAAAAUAUUAUCGAUAAGCCAUACAGUAUAUUCUGACCAUAUAUCCCCUCCCCCACCUCUUCCCAGAUCUUCUUCAGCUCCCCACUCAUCCAACUCAAUGCCCACCCCCCAACCCCCGUCUUCAGAAAACAAGCAUGUAAAACAACAACAACAAUAAUAAUAAUGUUGAAAGGGCGCAAGAAACACAUGGACGCACAAAAACAAAACCCAUGCAACACAAAGUGGGAAACCACAAUAUACAAGCAAAAGACCAGCAAGAUUAACACAAACAAACAAAGCCCUAACAAAGCAACAAGACAAAGAUCUACAAAAUACCACUGAGUUCAUUAUGUGUUGACCUUCUACUACUGGGCAUCGUGCCUCCCCUCAAGCAUAGUCUACGAAACUCCAUUGGAGAAAAAUACUCUUUCUUUAGCAGCGGGAGGUAGCUUUUUGGUUAGAGACGGGAGAUCAUGUCCACCUCUGUCUCUUGACACUGGGACCCCAUCUGGCC
rnacentral:sRNA from 1 species